rnacentral:rRNA from 1 species
UACGUAGGGUGCGAGCGUUAAUCGGAAUUACUGGGCGUAAAGCGUGCGCAGGCGGUUCGUUGUGUCGGCGGUGAAAGCCCCGGGCUUAACCUGGGAAUGGCCGUUGAAACUGGCGAACUGGAGUGUGGCAGAGGGGGGUGGAAUUCCCGGUGUAGCGGUGAAAUGCGUAGAGAUCGGGAGGAACAUCAGUGGCGAAGGCGGCCAUCUGGGACAACACUGACGCUGAGGCACGAAAGCGUGGGGAGCAAACAGG